rnacentral:lncRNA from 1 species
ACAUGAAAAUAGAAGACAAAGCUUGGCCAAAAGUGGAAAACAACUCACUCCGUCCUGAGUAUAUACGAGUCAAUAGAAAGAAAAAGUAGUGUUUGAGUCGACUCCAUUCCAUGAGUCAACAGAAGCUGAGACUUUUUGUUGCAAUGUCACAAUCACUGGCAAGGCUACUUGGUUUCUGCAUGACCUCUCCAGCUCCACGAUGACUCCAGAGACUGCACCAUGUCUGUGAAUUUCGCAACCCCCAGAGGACAGGAUCCGAGGCAAGCUCGCGUGUACAUCUGAGUGCAGAAUUUGAUAAGGGUCUAUCUCAAAGAUCUUUGCACAGAUCAUGGGCAUUUCCGUGUGAAAUAUUUCAAUUUUGAAUUCACGCAGGAAAGGCAGACUGACUUACAAGGCUUGGAUAUUUUCUACUCGGAUGCCAUUUUACUGGAUCGAGAUAAUCCACUUAUUUCUCAGGAAAGUCGUACUGGGGCUUUGUUGCCUCUCCGUUCUCUCUCUGGUCUCAGCUUUAAAUGCCACCUGCUACGGAAUUGGAAUUCCACCGUGAGGCGGUCUAACCCAGGCACCUCGGAGGUAUUCACGUGUCCUGCCCCCCAGAUAGCUGUUUGUCCCUCCCUCUCUAGCCCAGGGCCCCCUGGGGACAGAAAUCACACAGAGCAGGUAUUCAUUCAAUCAAUAUUUUGUGACUGAAUCAGUGAAUGAAGGAAUAAAUGUAUAUCUAGUCAUUUGUGUCGUUUUGUG